rnacentral:rRNA from 1 species
CCUACGGGUGGCAGCAGUGGGGAAUAUUGGUCAAUGGGCGCGAGCCUGAACCAGCCAAGUAGCGUGAAGGAUGACUGCCCUACGGGUUGUAAACUUUUUUUAUAAAGGAAUAAAGUGAGGCACGUGUGCUUUUUUGUAUGUACUUUAUGAAUAAGGAUCGGCUAACUACGUGCCAGCAGCCGCGGUAAUACGGAGGGUCCGAGCGUUAUCCGGAUUUAUUGGGUUUAAAGGGAGCGUAGAUGGGUUGUUAAGUCAGUUGUGAAAGUUUGCGGCUCAACCGUAAAAUUGCAAUUGAUACUGGCAGUCUUGAGUGCAGUUGAGGUAAGUGGAAUUCGUGGUGUAGCGGUGAAAUGCUUAGAUAUAAGGAGGAACACCAGUUGCGAAGGCAGCUUACUAAACUGCAACUGACGUUGAUGCUCGAAAGUGUGGGUAUCAAACAGGAUUAGAUACCCCUGUAGUC